UAUAAUAUAAAAAAAUUAACAUGUAUUAUAAUUUAUAAUGCAUAGACUAUAGUAUUUUUUUAAUAGAACAAUAUUUAAAUAUACUUUUUUAUGCUAGUAUAAAUUUAAUUAAAGAGCCGAUUAAACCCUAGAUUGAUUUGAACCAUUGGAUAUGUGGUUACUUUUUCUUGGGACUUUGGAGCCGUUGGAUUUUAAUGGAGGCACAUUUACCCUAGGGUUACAACUUUCAAUGCUUCUCGAGUCUUCUACAGUUCUACUGUUGCGCCGUUUCACGUUUCACUUUCACCAAGUGAAAUUUCACUCUCUCGGCCUUGCCGCUUCACUUUCUCUUCUCUCACUCUCAGACCCAUCGAGAAACCCUAGCUUCUUCUCCUGUUAUCCAUUCUCUGAAUCUCUUAUGCUUACACGGUUACACCGAUUACUAUUUACUAGUUACCUCCUAUAUGCCAUCUUAAUCUAUCAUUCGAUUUGUGUGGUGCAUUUGGGCCGCAUUUGUUCUCGAGGGGCCUCGGGCCAUCGAGUGAAAAUGGCUGCUUCUGUAGUCUGCUAAAAACCCUAGCAGAUGCAGUCAACAGCCGUUUUAGAGGGGAACCAUGGCUGUAAUCUCAGCCUCUGAGAAAGCAGCCGGUCCUCGACAAAUGGGUCAUUAAAUGCAUGCAUUUAUGACUCCCAACCACUGCUUCCUUGAUUUUGUGGCUUGUGGUUCUCUGGUUCGUCGAUUCGUCCAUCCACGAGUCGAUUACCCAAUUUAAUUUCCUUUUUCUACGCAUUUGGUUGGGAAUGUUGGCAAAUUUGAUUGAUUUAUCUAGUUAUAGUUUUAUCUAGCUAUUUUCAAUGCCCAUUUCUGGUUCUAUCCUAACUCUUUUUCAUAUUGUGAUUUGUGGUAUUGUGGGCACAAUAGAUCUACAUGAAAUCAUCUAAGUACACUGUCAUUCAUGAAUCGUGAUCAUGAAGCAGUCGUAUAUGCUAAUUUUGAUAACUGUGAGACACUGAGACUAUGACUGUUUUGGUUGUCCAUCACUUUGAUUGUUAAGUUUAUGUUUUAAUUUUAAUUUUUUCUUUUAAUCUGUAAUAGUUGAAUAUGCCCUGUUAGAACUUAGACCUUAGGCCGUUAAGUGUUAACUUCAUGUUUUGGUUAUUUUGCUAUUGCUUACAAUUUUUGAACUUGGCGUCUAACUUGAGCUUUCUGCUUUUAUAUCUGUCUUUGCUGCUUGCCUAAUCAUCUUGCCUACUGAGUUGUGCUCAAAGAAAAAUUUAUAGUCGCAAUGUGUGCAGGUUGUCAUGGUGAUUUUGUUCAAGUUUGGGAACUUGUUGACUUCUGAGAUGGUGAACUCUGAUUUUGUAUAAGUUUGGUAACUUCCUAUCAUUGUGAAUUUCCUGAAAUUUUGGUAACUUCAGUCUGCAGUUAGAAGAAUGAGAUUAAUUUCAAACUUUGGUAACUUGUUGUGAACAUCUGUUUUGGACACUGCAGUUGGCCAUCUAUAUGUUUGUCUGGCUGAUUUUGUUGAACUUUGGUAACUUGUUAUGAACUUAUAACUUCUUUGGUAACUUAUUUGGUAACUGCCAAUGAUAUGAGAAUGAGAGUAUUGUGGGCCUAUGGCUGGUAACUGUCUCAAACUGCAUUUUGUAUCUAUUUUGUAUUGAUAUUUUGUGGCUGGUAUGAGAGUGUUGAGUUUUGAGUAUUUUCUAUGUAUGCCCAUUGAAGUUGUCAAUUUGUCUACCUCACAGUUUGUUGUCUGGCUGAUAUGAGUCAUGCCUAUUGGCUAUUGCCUAUUGCUGGGUCGUUGUUUUGGAUCUAUUCUGUGGUAAUUGCAUAAUGCAUUUGGUAACUUGGCUGAAUCACUGAUGCACAUAUUUCUAUCAGAUUUUGGGAACUUGCUGACUUAUGUGACUAUCACGGUGAUAUCAGAUUUCAAAACUUGUCUAAAUCCCUAAUGCACAUAUUUAUUUAUGAUAUUGCCUAUAUAAUUGUAUUGUGUAACUUGUUAGAGAUAUGAUAUUGAUUUUUCACAGCAAAUUAAGUUUUGCAUUUUCUGUGGAAUAUCCCUUGACAGUAUUGCUAAGUUAAUGGUACUUGAGCAAGGGAUUAAAAAUAACA